rnacentral:rRNA from 1 species
UACGGAGGGUGCAAGCGUUAUCCGGAUUCACUGGGUUUAAAGGGUGCGUAGGUGGGCAAGUAAGUCAGUGGUGAAAUCUCCGGGCUUAACCCGGAAACUGCCAUUGAUACUAUUUGUCUUGAAUACUGUGGAGGUCAGCGGAAUAUGUCAUGUAGCGGUGAAAUGCUUAGAUAUGACAUAGAACACCAAUUGCGAAGGCAGCUUACUACGCCUAUAUUGACGCUGAGGCACGAAAGCGUGGGGAUCAAACAGG